ACGGGUGCGUAACACGUGGGUAACCUGCCCUUUGAUGGGGAAUAACCUCGCGAAAGCGAGGCUAAUUCCGCAUAAGAUCCGCAAGGAUGAAAGCCGUAAGGCGUCGAAGGAGGGGCCCGCGCACGAUUAGCUAGUUGGUAGGGUAAUGGCCUACCAAGGCUUUGAUCGUUAGCUGGUCUGAGAGGAUGGCCAGCCACACUGGAACUGAGACACGGUCCAGACUCCUACGGGAGGCAGCAGUGGGGAAUCUUGCACAAUGGGCGAAAGCCUGAUGCAGCGACGCCGCGUGGGGGAUGAAGCUUUUCGGAGUGUAAACCCCUUUCGACCCGGACGAAUACCUCGCAAGAGGGGUGACGGUACGGGUAUAAGAAGCCCCGGCUAACUACGUGCCAGCAGCCGCGG
rnacentral:rRNA from 1 species